UACGUAGGUGACCAGCGUUGUCCGGAUUUACUGGGCGUAAAGAGCGCGCAGGCGGUCGUUCAAGUCGAGUGUGAAAGCCCCCGGCUCAACUGGGGAGGGUCAUUCGAUACUGUUCGACUCGAAGGCAGGAGAGGGAAGUGGAAUUCCCGGUGUAGUGGUGAAAUGCGUAGAUAUCGGGAGGAACACCGGCGGCGAAGGCGGCUGCCUGGACCAGUCCGUGACGCUGAGGCGCGAAAGCUAGGGGAGCAAACAGGG
rnacentral:rRNA from 1 species